ACGCGCGGAACCUUACCAGGUCUUGACAUCCUCUGACACUCCUAGAGAUAGGACGUUCCCCUUCGGGGGACAGAGUGACAGGUGGUGCAUGGUUGUCGUCAGCUCGUGUCGUGAGAUGUUGGGUUAAGUCCCGCAACGAGCGCAACCCUUGAUCUUAGUUGCCAGCAUUUAGUUGGGCACUCUAAGGUGACUGCCGGUGACAAACCGGAGGAAGGUGGGGAUGACGUCAAAUCAUCAUGCCCCUUAUGACCUGGGCUACACACGUGCUACAAUGGAUGGUACAAAGGGCAGCAAAACCGCGAGGUCGAGCCAAUCCCAUAAAACCAUUCUCAGUUCGGAUUGUAGGCUGCAACUCGCCUACAUGAAGCUGGAAUCGCUAGUAAUCGCGGAUCAGCAUGCCGCGGUGAAUACGUUCCCGGGCCUUGCACACACCGCCCGU
rnacentral:rRNA from 1 species